UCAUUACGACAGAAAAUAAUUCCUCUUGAUAUUGAUGUUGAUAUUAUUAACGACGAUGACUUCGAAAAGCACGUCAAAAGCGAUUUAGGCCUCGGCUACGAUUUUAAAUAAAAGAAGUCAAAUCAAUGAAUAUAUAAUCCGCCGAAGAAACGGAAAUAAGAGAGUGCUGUUCCGGUUUUGUAGUAGAGCUAGCCAAACAGUUGAAGCAAAGCUUCCGGACAAUUUUAACAUAUUAAAACAGAUUGCUGUAUUCUCUGUUGAAAAUAUUUUGAAAAUUAAAAAGAAACAAAUCUCUCCAAUCCUUGAGUAUUUUAGCACUCCCAACAUAGAUACCGUAAAAUUGAACGACUGUACAACGACAUAACCCUGGUAGUGGGAAAAUGAUGAUACAGUUCUGGGUUGAAGUUCAAAAAUACCGGGAUUCUGGCGAAAACUGCCGUUUUCAGGAAUUGACUUCAGUUGCUCUGCAAAUGCAGUCCCUGCCUUGGUCGAAUGCCGACGUCGAGCGGGUAUUCAGCCAAGUAAAUUUAAUAAAAACCAAAAUUCGAAAUAGCAUGAGCGUUGAAACGUUAAACGCUGUACUGAGUACGAGUACGGGCUGCGUCGACACAAUAAGUUCUGUUUUAACUACAAUGUACCACCCAGCUGCCUAUCCACAAUUGAAGAAAAGAAAUUUUAUUCAACCGAUGAUGAUAAUAUUGACGACAUCUUAAAUUUAAUAUGGAUCUUAAUUUUUGUAAAUUAUUGUUUUUUUUUGUUUUCACUGUAAUGAUAUCCGUUAGAGAAUUACACAUAUAUUUUAUGUUAAGUUAAGUGGAACUGAGGGUUUAUUA